GACGAACGCUGGCGGCGUGCUUAACACAUGCAAGUCGAACGAAGUGGCGAACGGGUGAGUAAUACGUGGGUAACCUGCCCUCCUUUUUGGGAUAAGCCUUGGAAACGGGGUCUAAUACCGCAUAAAGGGGGAUGGGCUCGCGGCCUAUCAGCUUGUAGGUGGGGUGAUGGCCUACCAAGGCGGUGACGGGUAGUCGGCCUGAUAGGGUGACCGGCAAGAGUGGGCAGGAGAUACGGCCCAGACUCCUACGGGAGGCGGCAGUGGGGGAUAGUGCGCAAUGGGCGAAAGCCUGCGGCAGCGGCGCCGCGUGGGGGAUGAAGGCUUUCGGGUUGUAAACCUCUUACGCUAUCGAGCGGGUAGGUGGAGAAGAAGCGCCGGCUAACUACGUGCCAGCAGCCGCGGUAAUUC
rnacentral:rRNA from 1 species